CUGUGUACGGGGAGUUAGCGGUGCCCUGUAACCCGCAAUCCGCUAUAGCGGGGUCGCAAGCCUGUUUGAGGUCUCACCUUUCCUUGCAGACACGCGUUUCUGGGGCGUUUAAGGUCUGGUCUCGCGCAGCGGUCACGCGCCUAACCCCGUCAGAACCGGAAGGUAGCAGCGGUAAGUGUAGUGAGCGGGUGCCGUGGGGUUGCCGGGCAUCAGUCACAGGGCGUCGUUGGAUGUAAGUGAUAAGGCGAUCGAAAAUGGGGCACAG
rnacentral:SRP_RNA from 1 species